CAGGAACCACGAGGAAAGCGGUAGCUAUAUCUCAUGUUGUUUGUGAUAUAAGUGACAAAACGAAAACUGCGGACCAGUAUCCUGAAAUACCAGAGACAGAAGUAACAAUCCCAAGGCCACUGGAAACUACUGAUGCAAGGGCGCCUGGACGAGGAAGGAGGUUAAGGAAGAGAAAAAUUACUAUAUGUAAGGAUAAAAAACGGGAUGGAAAGAGGAAACGUUUAAGUAGGGCCGAUCGGGGAACGUCACCACCGAAUAUAUGUCACGAGACACUAGACGAGCAAGGAACAGAGGGGUUGCCAUUGUUAACCGAGAAGCCGUCAUCUAGCGGUACACGUAAGAAGAAUUUCUUUGAUUUAUUAAAAUAUAUUAAAAAAAUUCACAAAUUUAGUCAGACAGACAAAUCCGGAAAUGGUGAGGUGUGGUGGGGAUCAUUUAUCCCUGCAUGUAUCUGAUUCCGUGAGAACAAAAAUUAAAAAAAAUCACCAAUAUGUCAAUCUUGCUAUGAUGCUUAAAGGUAGUGUCGUGGAAACAAUUUGAUCGCAGACAUCUCUCUCGGUUAUCAGAAUUUGCCGGGUAGAGAUUUAUGAAAGCUCGAAGCCAACCGAAGAUCGAAAGGCAAUGCCCAUCUAUACCUUACACUCAAUUCUGUUUAUGGUCAGAUGGCCAUAAAAGCGCAGUAUUGCACAUAUUUUUUUAUGAUAACAAUAGCUAUAAACGCCUAUGUCUAUGAUCGCUUUAAUCAUAGACACACAUGAAAAUAAACACAUAUGAUCACUAAUCAUUCUGUUCAUGGUCGCAAUUGUCAUACACGCACAACAUUACACAUAUUUGUUCAUGAUCGCAAUAACCAUAAACGCAGAUGUCUAUGAUCUCUAUAAUCAUAGACGCACAUAAAAAUAACUGUUAUAUAUGUUUAUGAUCGCAAUAGCCAUAAACGCAUCUACUAAAAAUUAGAAGAUACACCAGUUUACCUCCUAACAUAGUAGAGAUGGUACCUAAAAAUUCAUCUUUACAGACGUUUUUCAGAGUGAAAUGAUAGCUAAGUGCACCAAUUUACUAAAUAUAUUUAUGGUUUUCCUCUUCUCCAUGUAAAAAUAGAAAUGUUUGAUAUUUAAGAAAUGACUUUCUCAAAAUAUCUGAAGCGAAAUGGACAACUCUUGUAUUGAUCGUUUUUCAAUGAUUUCAGGAUUUUCCCAAUUAUAGUCUAUAACAAAAGUUUCCACAGCUAAUUAAAUUCAAUGGUGUAUAGUGUAAGUUUAGUCUACUUUCAAAACUUUGAAAGAGCCUAUACUGAACUUCCUUUUGUCUUUUAAUAAAGUCAUAUUCCAAGACUAGCCAAGAGUCUAAAACGCUUGUAAAAAUUCUGAGUGAAAGAGAAUAUAACAUGCUCUUUAUCAUAAGCUUACCAAAACCAUACCAAAAAUUUACCUGAAAGAAGUUAUUAAAGAUUUUAUAAUGUAAACAAACACCUACACUAUUUUACCAUCAAUAUUUUUCACUCAUGAAUGCACGCAAUUCAGGUGAUAAUUGUUGA